UACGGAGGAUGCGAGCGUUAUCCGGAUUUAUUGGGUUUAAAGGGUGCGUAGGCGGAUCGUUAAGUCAGUGGUCAAAUUGAGGGGCUCAACCCCUUCCCGCCAUUGAAACUGGCGAUCUUGAGUGGAAGAGAAGUAUGCGGAAUGCGUGGUGUAGCGGUGAAAUGCACAGAUAUCACGCAGAACCCCGAUUGCGAAGGCAGCAUGCCGGCUUCCGACUGACGCUGAAGCACGAAAGCGUGGGGAUCGAACAGG
rnacentral:rRNA from 1 species